rnacentral:rRNA from 1 species
CUUGGUCAUUUAGAGGAAGUAAAAGUCGUAACAAGGUUUCCGUAGGUGAACCUGCGGAAGGAUCAUUACAAGUGAGGCUACCGAACGUUGGAAACAGCGGUUAGGAGCUUACACCCACCCGUGUUUACAUACUAUUGUUGCUUUGGCGGGCCGUGGCCUCCACUGCGGGCUCUGCUCGUGUGUGCCCGCCAGAGAACCAAACUCUGAAUGUUAGUGAUGUCUGAGUACUAUCUAAUAGUUAAAACUUUCAACAACGGAUCUCUUGGUUCUGGCAUCGAUGAAGAACGCAGCGAAAUGCGAUAAGUAAUGUGAAUUGCAGAAUUCAGUGAAUCAUCGAAUCUUUGAACGCACAUUGCGCCCUGUGGUAUUCCGCAGGGCAUGCCUGUUCGAGCGUCAUUUAACCACUCACGCCUAGCGUGGUAUUGGGGCACGCGGUCUCCGCGGCCCUCAAAAUCAGUGGCGGCGCCGGUGGGCUCUAAGCGUAGUACAUACUCCCGCUAUAGAGUUCCCCCCGGUGGCUCGCCAGAACCCCCAAUUUUUUACAGGUUGACCUCGGAUCAGGUAGGGAUACCCGCUGAACUUAAGCAUAUCAAUAAGCGGAGG